rnacentral:rRNA from 1 species
CAGCACCUCAAGUGGUCAGGAUGAUUAUUGGGCCUAAAGCAUCCGUAGCCGGCUCUGUAAGUUUUCGGUUAAAUCUGUACGCUUAACGUACAGGCCGCCGGGAAUACUGCAGAGCUAGGGAGUGGGAGAGGUAGACGGUACUCGGUAGGAAGGGGUAAAAUCCUUUGAUCUAUUGAUGACCACCUGUGGCGAAGGCGGUCUACCAGAACACGUCCGACGGUGAGGGAUGAAAGCUGGGGGAGCAAACCGGAUUAGAUACCCGAGUAGUCC